rnacentral:rRNA from 2 species
CAACGCGAAGAACCUUACCUGGUCUUGACAUCCACGGAAGUUUUCAGAGAUGAGAAUGUGCCUUCGGGAACCGUGAGACAGGUGCUGCAUGGCUGUCGUCAGCUCGUGUUGUGAAAUGUUGGGUUAAGUCCCGCAACGAGCGCAACCCUUAUCCUUUGUUGCCAGCGGUCCGGCCGGGAACUCAAAGGAGACUGCCAGUGAUAAACUGGAGGAAGGUGGGGAUGACGUCAAGUCAUCAUGGCCCUUACGACCAGGGCUACACACGUGCUACAAUGGCGCAUACAAAGAGAAGCGACCUCGCGAGAGCAAGCGGACCUCAUAAAGUGCGUCGUAGUCCGGAUUGGAGUCUGCAACUCGACUCCAUGAAGUCGGAAUCGCUAGUAAUCGUGGAUCAGAAUGCCACGGUGAAUACGUUCCCGGGCCUUGUACACACCGCCCGUCACACCAUGGGAGUGGGUUGCAAAAGAAGUAGGUAGCUUAACCUUCGGGAGGGCGCUUACCACUUUGUGAUUCAUGACUGGGGUGAAGUCGUAACAAGGUAACCGUAGGGGAACCUGCGGUUGGAUCAC